AGGGAUCGAAACAGAGAUGAGGGAGGCCGAUUUCAGGUGAAAGUGCUGGCGCGGUGCGUCACGAGAAAAGUGAAAUGAGUGAAGAGCGAGGAUCCAGGUCAUUGGGGUGGCCUUUUCCUUCUCUCGUAUUCCCUUGUUGUCUGUCUCGAAGAAGCCGUGUACGAUAUGUUUCUGUCUCUCUCAUUUUCUCUGUCUGCCUCGUAACCCGUAGGCUUCUUCACAUGAUCUCUUUUUACUUCAACAAGAUUCUGCGGAGCGUCGUUGUCAAGAAGGGAAACAUAGU
ensembl:ncRNA F22A3.16 ncRNA